AUGGGGUUGCUCAAGUGCAUGCCUGUGUGUACAGGGUGGCGUGCAAGGAUGGUGGUGCACACGUGUGCAAGGAUGUGCAAGGGUGUAGGGUUGCACACUUGUGUGGGGGAUUUGUGCAAGGAUGGGGGUGCUCAAGGGGUGCACAAGCGCACGUGUAUGUGUGCACAGGGUGCUGUGCAAGGAUGUGGGUGCUCGAGUGUGUGUGCAUGGGUGUGCAUGGACGUGCAAAGGAGUGGGGUUGGUGCAGAGGGUUGUGCACAGGGGUGGGAUGCACAGGGGUGUGAGUGCACGCGGGGAGCACUUGUGUGUGCACACGACUGUGCAAAGGCUGCUGUUGCACCGAUGGGGGUGCACAAGUCUGCGAGCGCAUGGGUGUGCAAAGCGGUGGGGUUCCUCAAGUGUGUGUUUGUGCAAGGGAGCGUGCAAGGAGGCGUUUGCACGUGGGUGUGUGAAAGAGCAAGGGGGCGUUUGCACGAGGGUGUGGGGUUUACACACGUGGGCGCGUUGCACAUGGGGCUGUGGGUGUGCUCAUGGGUGUGAGCUAGGACGUGUUUGCACGAGGGUGGGUGCAGGUGCACAGAUGCACGUGUGUGCGAGUUAACCUAAGUGUGCAAGAGUGUGGUUGCACUGUUGGCGUACAAAGCUGGCGUUGCACACGGGUGUGCACAUACACGGUGGCAUUUGCACAUUGGUGUGCAAGCUGACCACAAGGGCUUGUGCAAGGGCAGGGUGGCUUCAGGGGGUGAGCGUGCAACCAGAUGUGUGCGAGGAGCGCUUUGCACACCGGUGUGGAAAAGUGUUGCGUUGCGCGGGGGUGUGCAUGUGCUCAGCUUUGCACAUGCGAGUGCAACAGGACGGUGUUGCACACGUGUGAUUGCAUUCACAAGGGCUCACAUGCACACGUGCGUGCUUGCACAAGAGGGUGUGUAAUGCCAGCCUUGCACGCGGGUGUGUAAAUUGCAUUGCACAAGCAGGGGGUAGGGCAAGGAGGUGUCACCAUGUAACUUUUGCACGGGGAGGGGCGUGGAAAGGAGAAGCGUUUGCACGCUGCUUUGCACGAGGGUGUGCAUCAGCGUGCAGAGCUCAGCGUGAGCGUGUCAGGCCCAGGGUUGCACACGCGUUGCAGAGGCUUUGCACGGCCAGGUGUCGUGCGUCACACGUG
rnacentral:lncRNA from 1 species